rnacentral:rRNA from 1 species
GCCUAACACAUGCAAGUCGAACGGGACUUAGUGGAAAGCGGCUUCGGCCAAUGGAAGCUAAGUUUAGUGGCGAACGGGUGAGUAACGCGUGAGGAACCUGCCUUCCAGUGGGGGACAACAGUUGGAAACGACUGCUAAUACCGCAUAACAUAAUCGAACCGCAUGAUUUGAUUAUCAAAGCUUUAUGUGCUGGAAGAUGGCCUCGCGUGUGAUUAGCUAGUUGGUGGGGUAACGGCCUACCAAGGCGACGAUCAGUAGCCGGUCUGAGAGGAUCAACGGCCACAUUGGGACUGAGGUACGGCCCAGACUCCUACGGGAGGCAGAAGUGGGGAAUAUUGGGCAAUGGGGGAAACCCUGACCCAGCAACGCCGCGUGAAGGAAGAAGGCCUUCGGGUUGUAAACUUCUUUUACCAGGGACGAAGAACGUGACGGUACCUGGAGAAAAAGCAACGGCUAACUACGUGCCAGCCGCCGCCGUAAUAC